AUGGUGUCACACCCUGAUGAGGACAUCAAUACAAUUGUUACACCCACAGCCCCUGCUGCUAUACAUACUGGACCAAUUACUAGAGCUCGUGCACACCAACUAAAUUACCAGGUACUUUCGUUUCUUAGUAAUGAUUCUAAUGUUCAUGAGAAUAUGAUGCUGCCUAAAUUGGAUACAUUUGUUUUGUUUACAAAUGAAGGGCCUAGCUUGGAGAAGGAUGAACAUUGGAUUAAGAACAAGCAUGGAGAUGAUGGCAUGCGCAAGGGGAACAAGAACGGAGUUACAAGUGAUGAUUUCAGGACUUUGAAGCCACCAUAA
rnacentral:rRNA from 1 species